CGGGAGGGCGCUUACCACUUUGUGAUUCAUGACUGGGGUGAAGUCGUAACAAGGUAACCGUAGGGGAACCUGCGGUUGGAUCACCUCCUUACCUUAAAGAAGC
rnacentral:rRNA from 4 species